GCCCGUGAUGAGUGGCUUCGGGUCCGAGCGGUGAGGACACCAGCUAUCGCUGAGG
rnacentral:ncRNA from 19 species